CGCCUUCUGACCUAUAAAUAUAGAAGGUCCUGCCUGCCCAGUGACCCUGUUCAACGGCCGCGGUAUCAUGACCGUGCAAAGGUAGCGUAAUCACUUGUCUUUUAAAUAAAGACCAGUAUGAAUGGCUAAACGAGGGCCUAACUGUCUCCCCAAGCCAGUCAGUGAAAUUGAUCUUCCCGUGCAGAAGCGGGAGUAAAAAUAUAAGACGAGAAGACCCUGUGGAGCUUACAAAUCCAAGCUACAACAUGUACGCACCAGAUUUUUGGUUGGGGCGACCAUGAGGCACAGUAAACCCUCAAGACCUAAAACCAGAAGGACACUUCAAACCAAGGCACACCCAUACAUUGACCCAACACUUGACCAACGAACCAAGUUACCCCAGGGAUAACAGCGCAAUCCUCUCACAGAGCCCCUAUCGACGAGCGGGUUUACGACCUCGAUGUUGGAUCAGGACCCCCCGAGCGGCGCAACAGCUGUCAAAGGUUCGUUUGUUCAACGAUUAAAGUCCU
rnacentral:rRNA from 1 species